UACAGAGGUCUCAAGCGUUGUUCGGAUUCAUUGGGCGUAAAGGGUGCGUAGGCGGCGCGGUAAGUCGGGUGUGAAAUCUCGGAGCUUAACUCCGAAACUGCAUUCGAUACUGCCGUGCUUGAGGACUGGAGAGGAGACUGGAAUUUACGGUGUAGCGGUGAAAUGCGUAGAUAUCGUAAGGAAGACCAGUGGCGAAGGCGGCACUCUGGGCCGGGUACUGACGCUGAGGCGCGAAAGCUAGGGGAGCAAACGGG
rnacentral:rRNA from 1 species